rnacentral:rRNA from 1 species
GACGAACGCUGGCGGCGUGCUUAACACAUGCAAGUCGAACGAAGUGGCGAACGGGUGAGUAACGCGUAAUCAAACUGCCCUUCAGAGGGGGACAACAGUUGGAAACGACGGCUAAUACCGCAUACUGAAGGUGGGGCUUGCGUUGGAUUAGCUAGUUGGUGGGGUAACGGCCCAACAAGGCGAGGAUUAGGAGCCGGUCUGAGAGGAGGAACGGCCACAUUGAGACUGAGAACCGGCCCAGACUCCUACGGGAGGCAGCAGUAGGGAAUCUUCCGCAAUGGACGAAAGUCUGACGGAGCAACGCCGCGGGAGUGAAGAAGGCCUUCGGGUUGUAAAGCUCUGUUAAUCGGGACGCGGUACCGAAAUAGAAAGCCACGGCUAACUACGUGCCAGCCGCCGCGGUAAUUC